AGAUUUUCAGCAGGGGCGAUACCAUGAUCCAAAAGGUGGUUUUCCCAGGGCGAGGCUUAUCCAUUGCACUCCGGGCGUGCUGACCCCUGCGAUUUCCGCAAAUGUGGGAAACUCGACAGCAUCAUUUGUGGUAGUGGGGGGCUGCGUUCGCGCUCUCCCCUG
rnacentral:snRNA from 1 species